rnacentral:rRNA from 1 species
CGUGUAGGCAGUUUUGCAAGUCAGAUGUGAAAUUCCCAGGCUUAACCUGGGCGCUGCAUCUGAAACUGCAAGACUUGAGUACUGGAGAGGAUAGUGGAAUUCCUAGUGUAGCGGUAAAAUGCGCAGAUAUUAGGAGGAACACCGGUGGCGAAGGCGACUAUCUGGACAGUAACUGACGCUGAGGCGCGAAAGCGUGGGGAGCAAACA